CAGACAUCACAGGCUAUAGUUAAAGGUCUUCAUUACUUUCCACAAUCUGAUGGUAAGACCCUAUUUCUGAAGAAAACACUUACUUCCCAUAAAACACAGGGAAAUCGAGGUAAUGAAUAACUGGAAGUUCCAAACUAACUGGUUAGUAUUCAUGGUACUGGAUAUACUCUGCAUGCUGCUAGAGGAGAAAGGCUAUCAUCAAUAUCACCUAUCUAAUGAAAAUUGAUGCCCACUGACAAAAAGAAAAACAGUUUUCUCCAAUGGAAUCUCCCUGCGUAUAUCAACCAGAUUUCACAACAGGUUCCCUUCCCAGGAGUAGUUAACCAAAACCAAACUAAAUGGAAUUUUAAUGGACUUUUUUUUAUUUGAAUUACAAACAAGAUUGAAUUACAUGACAAUCCCAGUUCCCUUCUCCCUCCCUUCCUCCCUUAAUGGACCUUUUUAUCAUUUUAUUUUGUUUCUAUUUCCUAAUUAUUGCAAAUAGAACCCAGAAAUAUGUUUGCUUAUGUUCAUGCUGUUCCCGUUUGUAAACUGUUGGCCUUAAUUCCUGAAUUAAUGUAACCCUAAUAUGAAAGUCCUUUCCUCUGUCUGUUUCCUGUUGUCUUCUAACAGUUUCAGCAACUUGAGUUUCAUUUACACUGCAGUCUUUGACACAUUUAGUGUUGAUUAUUAUGAAGAGUGAUAGAUAUGAGUCUAAUUUCAUUCUUCUACAUGUAGAUAUUCAGUUUUCAAAGCAUCAUUUCUUGAAGACAUACUAUUUCCUCCAGAAUGUAUUUUUUUUAAUUUACAAAACUUGAAUUUUUAUUUUUUCUAUUUUUUUCAACUUUUUUAUUUGAAUUAGAAACAGGAUUGUUUUACAUGACAAUCCCAGUUCCCUUCUCCCACCUGUCCUCCCCUACCACCACCACCAACUAAAACCCUACCUAUCACAUAUCCUUUCUGCUCCCCCUGGAUGGUGAGCAGAAAGGAUAUGUGAUAGAUAGGUUUUUAGUUGGGGAGGGGUGGUAGGGGAGGACAAGAGGGAGGAGGGAACUGGGAUUGUAAUGUAAAACAAUCCUGUUUCUAAUUCAAAUUUAAAAAGUUGAAAAAAAAUUUGGAGAAUAGCCUUGAACACAUUGACACAGGAGAUAACUUCCUGUGUCACAGGAAUAGCCAAGGUACCAAGAUCAAAAAUUAAUAAAUGGUUCCUCAUAAACCUAAAAAGUUUCUGUAACGCAAAGGACACUGUCAAUAGGACAAAAAGGCAGAACUUUACCAACUCUAAAUCUGACAGAUGGCUAAUAUCCACAAUAUAUAAAGAACUCAAGAAAU
rnacentral:lncRNA from 1 species